GUGCCAGCCGCCGCGGUAAUACGUAGGGGGCAAGCGUUGUCCGGAUUUAUUGGGCGUAAAGAGCGUGUAGGCGGCCAGGUAGGUCGGUUGUGAAAACUCGAGGCUCAACCUCGAGAUGUCGACCGAAACCAUCUGGCUAGAGUCCGGAAGAGGAGAAUGGAAUUCCCGGUGUAGCGGUGAAAUGCGCAGAUAUCGGGAAGAACACCCGUGGCGAAGGCGGUUCUCUGGGACGGUACUGACGCUGAGACGCGAAAGCGUGGGGAGCGAACAGGAUUAGAUACCCGUGUAGUCC
rnacentral:rRNA from 1 species